rnacentral:rRNA from 1 species
CGCUGGCGGCGUGCUAACAACAUUGCAGUCGAACGCGAAAGCCCUUCGGGGGUAAGUAGAGUGGCGUCCGGGUGAGUAACACGUGGGUAAUCUACUCCGGGUGGGGAAUACAGUCGAAAGAUUGGUAAUACCGCAUAAUGCAGCGGCACCUAAUUGGUGAUUAGUUGUUAAAGCGGGGGACCUUCGGGCCUCGCGUCUGAAGAGGAGCCUGCGGGGAUUACUAGUUGGUAAGGUAAUGGUUACCAAGGCUACGAUCCGUAACCGGCUGAAGGGCGGUCGGUCACACUGACACUGACAUACGGGUCAGACUCCUACGGGAGGCAGCAGUCGGGAAUUUUGGGCAAUGGGCGAAAGCCUGACCCAGCAAACGCCGCGUGAAGGAUGAAAUCCCUCGGGAUGUAAACUUCGCAAGAACGGGAAGAAUAAGCGAGAGUUAAUAUCUUUCGUGAUGACGGUACCGUUUGUAAGCUCCGGCUAACUCCGUGCCAGCAGCCGCGGUAAUACGGGGGGAGCAAGCG